rnacentral:rRNA from 1 species
CUACGGGGCGCUGCAGUAAGGAAUAUUGCGCAAUGGAGGCAACUCUGACGCAGCCAUGCCGCGUGCAGGAAGAAGGCCUUAUGGGUCGUAAACUGCUUUUAUUUAGGAAUAAACCCCCGAACGUGUUCGGGGCUGAAGGUACUAAACGAAUAAGCACCGGCUAACUCCGUGCCAGCAGCCGCGGUAAUACGGAGGGUGCAAGCGUUAUCCGGAUUUAUUGGGUUUAAAGGGUGCGCAGGCGGGCUAUUAAGUCAGUGGUGAAAUCCCGGGGCUCAACUCCGGAACUGCCAUUGAUACUGAUAGUCUUGAGUUUGAUUGAAGUGGGCGGAAUGUGGCAUGUAGCGGUGAAAUGCAUAGAUAUGCUACAGAACACCAAUCGCGAAGGCAGCUCACUAAGCCAAAACUGACGCUCAUGCACGAAAGCGUGGGGAUCAAACAGGAUUAGAUACCCUAGUAGUC